rnacentral:rRNA from 1 species
UUGGAGGGCAAGUCUGGUGCCAGCAGCCGCGGUAAUUCCAGCUCCAAUAGCGUAUAUUAAAGUUGUUGCAGUUAAAAAGCUCGUAGUUGAAUUUCGGGAUCAAGGGAUCGGUCAUGCCUUGGUAUGUACUGGUCUUAUUGGUUCUCACCUUCUAAAGAACCAUGAUGUCACUCAUUUGAUGUUAUGGGGAAUUAGGACUGUUACCUUGAAAAAAUUAGAGUGUUUAAAGCAAGCUUACGCUUGAAUACAUUAGCAUGGAAUAAUGAAAUAGGACAUCAGAUUCUAUUUUGUUGGUUUCUAGGAUCGAUGUAAUGAUUAAUAGGGAUAGUUGGGGGCAUUAGUAUUCAAUUGUCAGAGGUGAAAUUCUUGGAUUUAUUGAAGACUAACUACUGCGAAAGCAUUUGCCAAGGAUGUUUUCAUUAAUCAAGAACGAAAGUUAGGGGAUCGAAGACGAUCAGAUACCGUCGUAGUCUUAACCAUAAACUAUGCCGACUAGGGAUCGGAUGAUGUUAAUUUUAUAAUGACGCGUUCGGCGCCUUACGGGAAAC